AUGAACGCUGGCGGCGUGGAUAAGGCAUGCAAGUCGAACGGCCCCGCUUACCAAUUUAAUAGCAAUAUUAAAAAGGUUUGCGGGGUAGUGGUAGACGAGGUAGGAACACGUAGGUACUUACCCGAAAGUCGGGCAUAACGAGCCGAAAGGUUCGCUAAUUCCCGAUAUUGUGGAAACACGAAAGGAGCAAUCCGCUUUCGGAAAGGCCUGCGGGCUAUCAGCUUGUUGGUAGGGUAACGGCCUACCAAGGCUAUGACGGCUAGGGGGCGUGUGAGCGCGUUCCCCACCGACGGAACUGAGACACGGUCCGUACACCUACGGGUGGCAGCAGUCGAGAAUCUUCCACAAUGGGCGAAAGCCUGAUGGAGCGACGCCGCGUGUGGGAAGAAGCCCUUCGGGGCGUAAACCACUUUUAGCAGGGAGGAAAAAAAUGACAGUACCUGCAGAAUAAGGGCCUGCAAAUCUCGU
rnacentral:rRNA from 1 species